rnacentral:rRNA from 1 species
UAGAUACCCGCGUAGUCCAUGCCGUAAACGAUGUGUGCUAGACGUUGGAAAUAUAUUUUUCAGUGUCGCAGCGAAAGCGUUAAGCACACCGCCUGGGGAGUACGACCGCAAGGUUAAAACUCAAAUGAAUUGACGGGGACCCGCACAAGCAGUGGAGCAUGUGGUUUAAUUCGAAGAUACGCGCAGAACCUUACCAACACUUGACAUGUUCGUCGCGAGACUAAGAGAUUAGUCUUUUCAGUUCGGCUGGACGAAACACAGGUGCUGCAUGGCCGCCGUCAG